AACGAACGCUGGCGGCAGGCCUAACACAUGCAAGUCGAACGCUCCGCAAGGAGAGUGGCAGACGGGUGAGUAACACGUGGGAAUCUUCCUAUCGGUACGGAAUAGCUCAGGGAAACUUGAGGUAAUACCGCAUACGCCCUUCGGGGGAAAGAUUUAUCGCCGAUAGAUGAGCCCGCGUCUGAUUAGCUAGUUGGUGGGGUAAUGGCCUACCAAGGCGACGAUCAGUAGCUGGUCUGAGAGGAUGACCAGCCACACUGGGACUGAGACACGGCCCAGACUCCUACGGGAGGCAGCAGUGGGGAAUAUUGGACAAUGGGCGCAAGCCUGAUCCAGCCAUGCCGCGUGAGUGACGAAGGUCUUCGGAUUGUAAAGCUCUUUUGCCAGGGACGAUAAUGACGGUACCUGGAGAAUAAGCCCCGGCUAACUUCGUGCCAGCCGCCGCGGUAA
rnacentral:rRNA from 1 species